AAACAUACAAAACAUGGCUAGAUUACAAAUAGAACAGAUCAGUGGUACAAUAAUUUCCUUGAAACUGCAAUUUCAGAUCAGUGGGCAUCGAGAAUGUGAGGAUCCAAUUACAAGUGCACUCAUGCACACAUGGACUCUGUAACCAUAAAAUCAAAGAUGAGCAGCAAUAGGUGAUUUUGGAGGGAGAUUUUUUUGUUGGAGUCGCUGAGCAAACCUCAUAACGUUGGAGUUCUUUUGGGAGAGUUGUGUUUUGUAAUCAAACUCUUCUUUAAUUGGUUCCUUAUUUUUUUAUUGAAUAUGUAAAUUACAAGUUUAAAUACAUGUAAAAAAUUAAAUUAUAC